rnacentral:lncRNA from 1 species
GCUGGUAGACGCGCAUGCGCAAAUGCGCGCAUUUGUUUACAUAAUAUUAUCAAAGAUGACUCAUUUAUUGCCUAUUUUGAACGGAUGUUCCCACGCCGCCCUCAUCCAAAUCAAUGUUGCAACCACGUGACUCGCAAUCAGAUGCUCUCGAUUCCCAAUUCCCACUAUGGGGAAAACAAACUUUUGUAUUUUAAUACUUUGUUUUGGCAACUAUAAAUACCCUUAUUUUUCAUUAAUUACAUAAAUAAAAUUUUUGGUAAAAUAGCCCUUUUUAAAAUAACCAUGGCAACAAAGAAACAGUUUUUUGCAUUUAGGGAAUGAAUGACUUCGAAAGAGACUGACCCAUGACGUCAUUUCAUACGUAACGAUAGAAAUCCUACUUUUUAUUACUGGUAGCUACCACCGCUGGAAAUCCAUGUUAAAUCAUGAAGUCGAAACAAGGCAAAGCCGCAGUCAACCUCGGGCUCAAGCAUCAUCCAAUCGUUCGCAGACAACACUCUGACAGACAUUUCUUCAUAAGUUAGCAGGAAUAAAAGAUCGAUGCGACCAAGCGAUUUACAGGCUGGUCCUGCUGGAAUGCCUCAAGCUGGCCUUCAAGAAACCCACAUGUGUUGAUGGCAACAUGACAGCGACCAAAGAGAGUGAAAAGAUUGCGGUACGUAGCUGCAACCCGUUCUGCUUCCCUGAUGAGUGGCUCACUGUCUGGACACAGCUGUUUCAUUGUAUCAGCUACUCUUGUCAUUCUUGGAGAAGUUGGACCGGUUGAGAAGCAGCUUCCUCAGGAUAAAGGAGAAUGAAGCAUGAUAGCUGCUCCAUCAAAUCCUUGCGCUCCUCUUCCUUCUCUGCCAGCAUAGCCUCCAGUCGAUGUCGCUCCACCAUGUUGAUCAUGUUCUUCGAUAGGUUGCUUGGGGCGUCCUGGGGAGCGAGGUACGCCACAGUCUGGAUGUCUAGCUGGUGGCAUGCCUUCUCCAUACUGUUAAAGUGCUUCAAAAACAACCCGAGACUGAUGUGUAGGCCAGGGGGGCAUACCUGCAAGAAAAGAAAGAGAUUUUAGAAAGCCUCUGCCUGCAGGAUACUAUCAAUCAUUAUCUUCAAAUAUAUAAGCUUAGCCGAAGCAUGGACCUCAUGUUGACCAUGUCUAUGUCGUUGAUUUUGACGCUGGAGGAUGGGUCAUCCAGAGCCCCUGCCUUGUGAGCCCUGGAGACUUCGUGCCUAAACUGGACGUCUGGUGAGUGGGAGAUCUCAUCCCGGAUGGCAGCAAGUUGCAUGCUUCUUCUCCGCCUUGUUGAUGGAGUGCUGUCUGCAGAGCUUAUUCUGGGCUUAGUUAUCAGUUUCGUAACCAGGGGCUUUUCAUAUGUGAAGAAAUGCAGGAAAAAAAGUUAAAAUGAUUAUCUUAAUAUUAUAGUACAACAUUUGUUGUAGAGAUCAUGACCCAGUUUUCAUGAUGGGGAACAAAUAGAACAGGAAAGUUUUGGAAGGGGUAUUCCACAUGGCACAAAAACAAAAUAUGAAAUGAAAUCAUUUAAAUGUCGACAAAGAUCAGCAAAUUAUUUUUUCCCCUUCAUGAUAUCAACUAAAUUAGAGCAAGACUUGAUUAAAAUGAUAUAUUACGAGUAUAAUUUCUGUACUGCCAUGUAUUGUGUUCUUUAAUCUUAAAUACAGUUCCCUUUGUGAGAAGUUGUCCCUUUAACCUUAUAUUAUAAUUGCAUUUGACCAUAGGACAAAUUUAGUAGCUUAACAAUUUAUCCUUACAGGACAGUUGUGAAACUUACCAUGUUUAUAUAACCUUUGUUAACUGUGAAAGUUUAACAUGAUGGCAAACCUGCAUAAAAAUUUAAUACAGUUCAUUUGAUGAUUAGCUCCCUUAAAUCUAUUCAUUUUUGUUUUAUCUUGGAUACAUGUAAUGUUAAUACCAGCAGAUUGUAAGUAUGAAAGAUAUUUGAAAAAAAAAGGAAAAAAA